CAUUACCGAGUUUACAACUCCCAAACCCCUGUGAACAUACCAAUUGUUGCCUCGGCGGAUCAGCCCGCUCCCGGUAAAACGGGACGGCCCGCCAGAGGACCCCUAAACUCUGUUUCUAUAUGUAACUUCUGAGUAAAACCAUAAAUAAAUCAAAACUUUCAACAACGGAUCUCUUGGUUCUGGCAUCGAUGAAGAACGCAGCAAAAUGCGAUAAGUAAUGUGAAUUGCAGAAUUCAGUGAAUCAUCGAAUCUUUGAACGCACAUUGCGCCCGCCAGUAUUCUGGCGGGCAUGCCUGUUCGAGCGUCAUUUCAACCCUCAAGCCCAGCUUGGUGUUGGGACUCGCGAGUUAAAUCGCGUUCCCCAAAUUGAUUGGCGGUCACGUCGAGCUUCCAUAGCGUAGUAGUAAAACCCUCGUUACUGGUAAUCGUCGCGGCCACGCCGUUAAACCCCAACUUCUGAAUGUUGACCUCGGAUCAGGUAGGAAUACCCG
rnacentral:rRNA from 1 species